CUGCUUGCUUGCUUGCUUGCUUUAACAGCUUCCUCCUCUCAUCUCUUAUGGCAAAACCUUUCAAAUUUUGCUAGAAGAAUACCCAAAGAAAAUCAAAAUGGCCUCUAUAUCCACAUGCUUCACUGUUUCCGCCAAAUCUCGCAUCCUAUGUUCUCAUCCAAUUUUCACUUCGAAAACCUCAUUUCGUCUUAAACCUCCCGAUUCUUUUACUAGUAUCCAGCCACUUCAUUUCGUCAGAAUUCCCU
rnacentral:misc_RNA from 1 species